AGAAGUGCCCCAAUCGUCGACCGGCCACUCUCCAUUUGAACUCCUCUAUGGGAGACGACCCCGGGGGCUGCUGGACAAAGCGAAGGAAGCCGGGGAAAAGCAACCGUCGCCCCAUCGAACCAUGGUGGAACACGUGGGAGACAUGAGGGACCGGAUGGCCACCCUGUGGCCCCUGGUGCGGGAACACAUGCAGGAGGCCCAGGUUGCCCAAGCACGGGUCUACAACAGAGGGGCCCAACAGCGAGACUUCCAGCCCGGAGAUAAAGUGCUGGUACUUGUCCCCACAACAGAGUGUACGUUUCUGGCCCGUUGGAACGGGCCAUACGAAGUACUUGAAAAGGCUACCAGUGAAACCGGGCCGGCCAAGGUGCCCCUAGGGGAACAGCUGAGCCCAUCACAGAGGCAGGAGCUCAUGGAGUUGGUCGACCAGAACCAGGAUGUGUUCUCCAGUGAACCGGGCCACACCAAUCUGGUACAGCACCACAUCAUCACUGAGCCCGGGAAAAAGGUGAAAUUGAGACCCUACUGCAUACCGGAGGCCAGGAGAGAG
ensembl:lncRNA